rnacentral:rRNA from 1 species
UACGGAGGGGGCUAGCGUUGUUCGGAAUUAUUGGGCGUAAAGGGCGCGUAGGCGGCCGACUAAGUCUGACGUGAAAUCCCCCGGCCCAACCGGGGAACUGCGUUUGAUACUGUUUGGCUCGAGUCCGGGAGAGGGUAGUGGAAUUCCCAGUGUAGCGGUGAAAUGCGUAGAUAUCUGGAGGAACACCGGUGGCGAAGGCGGCAUCCUGGACCGACAUUGACGCUGAAAGCCGAAAGCUAGGGGAGCAAACGGG